GGUGGCUGCCAGAGCGCUGCUUUUUGAGAACCCAUCAGCUGUAAAACCUCCUCCCUUGGGAAGAGAUGCCAAAGCCAUAUAUUCAUGUGAAGCUGAACACAGCAAUGAGCUGAGCUUCCCACAGGGGGCUCACUUCUCCAACGUGUAUCCUUCAGUGGAACCAGGUUGGCUCCAGGCAACAUUUGAGGGCAAAAAAGGCCUCGUUCCUGAAAAUUACGUGGUGUUCCUCUGACAGCGUCCAACCAGGAGGGGCCAAGCAUUUCAUGGUAUCCAUGGUAACAUCAAUUUUAGACCAAGGGCAUUAACUAUAUAUCAAUGGAAUGUAAAUGGAAUUCAUGUAAGUGAAAUUAAGAGAUCAUGGAUGGUACACAAACCUCAAUGAUGCAGUACAAGGGUGAUUAAUGUCUGAAUCACAGCUGUAAUUCUAGACAACUGGGUUUCAAAGCUUUUGCUGAGGCUGAAAUGUUAAAAUGAGCAUCAUGUGCUGCUUGAGUCUAGAUACACAAAUUCACAUACACUGAGAUCAGGAGGUGCGAUGGACUGCACUAAAUGGUCCUUUUAGGUCUACUGUACUAUGUGGUGGAAUACUGUAAUUCUGUUAAGAAAGAUCAGAUAAUAGGUCUAAAAGACAGACUUUCUUUUAUUUUAGCUCAAUGCUAACUGCCUUGAAAUGAUGGAGAAGAAUGUUAAACCUCAGCACUAUUUGAGCUGAGAAUCACUGUUAUGUUUAACUCAGUUCAGCAGAAACUCUGCUUUGUGUGUGGUUUAUUUCAUCGUGAAUGUACUUGCUUUUACUGUCAUUAGUGUUCAGACGUCUGAGACCACAUUGUUAGGAUUUUUGAACAUUUUAAACAGAGAAACAAAAUGAACACGAAUUUCUGCAAAAGUUCUAGAUGACUAAUAAUUAAGUUUAGGUUUUCAGGUAAAUUGUGAUAUUAACCCUCUGGUCAAAUUUCCAACUUAACACUGAAGCGCAAGAUUCUCUUUGGAACAUUUUUAAAUCAUGCUGAAGAACAAGAUCAUUGGCUUUGCUUACGCAGCUUGAGUGCUGCUGACAUUAAAGGGACAAAAAAUUAUAUUUACACAUUUUCAGUUCUAAUAUUCAUAUUCAUCACAUUAUGCUGUUAAUAAAAUGCUUUGAAAGUAAAAAUGAAUAAAAAUGCCCAGCGGGCACCUUGAUAUCAAUUUGAUGUCAAAUAUUAGUCAAGACUUGAUCAAAAUGCUGUAACAUCAUUUUAAAUUCAGUUUGUUUGACGACAAUUUAUUCCAGUGAUAUUUGAAAUUGGUUUAAUGUACAGUAUAUGUAGACCAAUAUGUUUGACGUUCAAUUUACAUAAAAUCAACGUCAUGUCAAGUUUUUGACAUCAGUUUGAUUUGCAAAUUUUAUCUGUUUUUUUAUGUCAAUUUUGAUGUCUUUUCAACAUUAAUUGCCCACUGGGUGUAUGUUAUUGACAUAGAGAAUUCUAUGUUUGGUGGACAGUGAAAUCUUCCAGUUUUGUGCUGAAAUAUAAGCACCCUUGGAAGACCAAUAUCAGCACCCUUGCUUUAUUCAAUCAAAUUAGUGGAAUGCAACUAAGUGUUCCAGUGUUAUCUAAUAUUUUCUUAUACACAAUAUUCCUAAUUCUGAAAAGUUUGGAAACCACUGGUAUAAAGCAUGAGAUAGCAGUGGAUCAUGUCUCAGUUUUGUAUCCAGGUUGCUGCAGAACGUCAAACAAAAAUCAGUUUUAACAAAUACUAAUGAAUCAAGUCUAGCUGUAACCGCUUCAUUGUACAUGAGGUUCAGGUCACAUUAUUAAUUCUGAAGUUUAAAAUGACACCAACUGUCAGUGUCAACAACACCAAUGUGGUACGUUCCAGUCGUCUUAUUGUCUCCAUAAUGAAAUAUUCCAAACUUGUGUUAUGAAGAUAACUGAUGAAAAUCUAGAUGAUAGAAGUUUAUGUAUGGAUGAUUAUUUUGUAAAUCAUGUAGUUUUCUUCUUAAUUCAUUUCUGUUCUGCCAAUAAACUUGUUUAUAGAA